GUGGGAAGAGACAUUUGUAGUGUGCCGUUGCCCGGUGCAACAGUUCACAAAAAGAAGUUGUGGAUUCUCCCUGAUUGGAGGUUUCUUUUAAAAACAGGUGUUGUGUUGCCUCCCUCUUACCCUAUGAAUCCAUCAACUGGAAACACUGUUGAAGAAAAACCACACAUUCACACCAACAAGCAAGUGGAGAGACCAUCAUUGAGAAUCACGUGCAGGUGAUGAAGCCCAGAAGGCAGAAGCUUCUCUGCUGAGAGACCCAGCAGGAGCAGAACGACUUCAAGGCCCAGAGGACAUCAUGGUGAGGAGAGACUUCCUCCGAGCUUCUUCUAGAACUAACGGUGCCCAGCGCCUCAGGAGCUGCAGCAUUUUGAGCACAGCGGUGGUGCCACAUCCAUCAGUCACGGCAGCAAGAGGUCUUCUUCUGACGGCUGUGAUGCUGGUAGCUGGUAACCUAGGGAAACUAGAACAGGAAAAGAAGAAGAUGAAAAUGUCACACGGGCCCCAUGAUCACCUGGGAGGCUUCCCCUUUGGGGACUGGCAGACGUAAUUGUGGGAACUUGGAUGCUGAGGUCUUGUAAACAUACUGCAGGAGGCAUUGUAAUUUCAGCUUUAAAAAUAAAAGAGGUCAAAUUUUAUAUAAA